ACUGCCCUAGUUCUAACCAUAAACGAUGCCAGCUAGCGAUCUGAGGACGUUUUUUUGUAGACUCCUCAGGAAGCUUCCGGGAAACCAAAGCGUGUGGGUUCCGGGGGAAGUAUGGUUGCAAAGCUGAAACUUAAAGGAAUUGACGGAAGGGCACCACCAGGAGUGGAGCCUGCGGCUUAAUUUGACUCAACACGGGAAAUCUCACCAGGCCCGGACACUGGAAGGAUUGACAGAUUGAGAGCUCUUUCUCGAUUCGGUGGGUGGUGGUGCAUGGCCGUUCUUAGUUGGUGGAGUGAUUUGUCUGGUUAAUUCCGAUAACGAACGAGACUCUGUCCUGCUAAAUAGUGUCAGCCUCUCUUUUGGGCUGACAAUUCUUCUUAGAGGGACUGGCGGCUCCUAGCCGCACGAGAUAGAGCAAUAACAGGUCUGUGAUGCCCUUAGAUGUUCUGGGCCGCACGCGCGCUACACUGAAUAGAUCAGCGUGUUCUCCCUUUCUGAGAAGAACGGGUAAACCGCUGAACCCUAUUCGUGGUAGGGAUCGGGGCUUGCAAUUAUUCCCCGUGAACCAGGAAUUCCCAGUAGGCGCGAGUCAUAAGCUCGCGUCGAUUACGUCCCUGCCCUUUGUACACACCGCCCGUCGCUAUUACCGAUUGAAUGGAUA
rnacentral:rRNA from 1 species